GAGCCGGGAGCGGGGAGUGCCUUCCCUCCAUCCCUCUCUCCUUCCCUCCUUCCCCGCCCGUAUCGUAGGGCUGCGGCUCCUCGCCUCACGUCCUCGCCUCAGGAGGCAGCCCCGCUCCCGCCGCACUUCUCCUCGGGGAAGGGGGCACCCCGGUCGCACAGAGCUUCACACAUCUAGGAUUUUACCUCUCAGCGUAGAGCGCUUUUUAUUUAUUUUUAAUUUUUUUAAACUUCAAGAGGAGCGCCUGCCUGAGAGUAGCGAUCGGCCGCCUCAGGCUGCGUGUGGCUCCUCAGCACCAGCCCUGAGGCACCUGUCGGAGUUUGCCUGGCCGUGAGCCCGCGGUGUGUGCUCGUUUUAUAUUUUCAUCUGAAAUUAUUCCCGCUCACUCGUUAUUUGGGGAUUAAAACGUGUUCCAGCAGUAGAGGCAGCUGCCAGAGGAAUUCUGUCAGGUUAGCAGGCUGGCAGCCGAGGGGUACCUCAGCGAGGCAGCGGCCGAGGUGCUCGGAGCUCCCUGCCUAGCCUCAUGAACACCAGCACGGCGGUGUAAGGCACCAUCGCUCACUGUUAAAGCACUCUGUGAAUUACAGACACAUGCUGUGUAAACGCCAUGGACUCCACGUAAUAUUACAAACUGACAUUUCAGAAACAAACUCAUGCUUGUCCCGUUCUAUUUUGUUUUCUUCAAGAGUGUUUUCCUGUAUUACUUUACAUGGACUUAAUCUUGAGGAGGGGCAGAAUUUCCACUUCAUGCAAAGUAAGGAGCUUCAUUUGUAUUAAAGACUUUUCUAUACAUCUGGAGUUACUCAGGGACAGCUCCAUGUUUUGUGUUCAGUGAUGCUCCUCUGCUGUAAAAGAGCCUUGCUCUCCUGUUUGGUUUGGCCCACUUUCAAAGCAUACUAAGCUAAACAAGCACGGCGUCCAACUUUCAGAAGAGCGUCCUCAACUUGGAAAGAAGAGCUCCCCGUGUGGACAAAGCCACAGUCCUCUAGCAUCCCAGAGCUUCCCACAUCUACCCAGUAUAUUGACUUGUCUGCAAAGCCCUUCGUACUUCAUGUACCUCAUCACUUCCAGAUUAUCUUGACAUCUUAAGCUCAGGUCAGCUGCUUUUUCUCAUCUCCACCUUAGAGCUCUACAUUGCAGUUCAUUUUUUAGUUACCUUACGCAUUUGUUAUUUGUGUAGUUUUAUACAGUACAUGCAACUACUGUUUGUGAUGAACACAAUUUACAAGAGGAAAAAAGAAGCAACAAUAAGUUUAUGUUCAUGUCCCAUGUACCCAAAUUAGUGUGGGAAAGAGAUCUGGAAAUUAUAUAAGCUACUCCAGUGAAAGCAUCAGUUUAACAUUCAGUUAUAUAGUGAAAAUAUGAACAAAUGAAGCUUUAAAAUUAUGAGAAAAGAAACACAUAACAAAGCUGUGAGACACUACUAGACUGAGAUGCACUUACUUAUAACUCCCUUAAAUAUUUAUUGUUCUUAAAGAUUGACAAUUCUUGACUUGGACUAGAAUCAACACCCUUUUACGCAGAAGCAUGCCAUAAACCAGUUCAGAGAACUAAGUACCAGUCUUGCUCGUAGUUGCUCAAACUGUGUAGGAGAUGCUUUAGAUAAUGUUUUUCUUUGCACAGAUAGUUAAAAGUUGUAUUGUUUGUAGCUUAGAAUUUAUAGCUCAGCAACAUUUUAGAAGUGGCCAAACUUCUGACGCCCAAAGUUGCCUUCCCCAAACUGAUUCGCCAGUGAUCGGUAGCAGCAGAUGAUUGCCAUUUUCCAAAGAGUAAUUGCAGUGCACUUCUGCAAGAGCUUUAGAUUCUCAGUCUUACUCUGCAGUGCCAGUCUGGAGAUUGUAAAUGAAAUUAAUCCGUGGGCUCUUCCUGAGCUGGAAACAGUGCAUCUAGUGCAUCCUCUCAGCCCUCCAGAGCAAUCGGGUCCCAAAAAGCUGUGUCUGAGAAACUGAAAGUUGAAGUAAGGAUAGUCGUGUUAACUGUCUCAUCUAGACAAAGGUGGUGGCAAAGGGAGCGCUGCAGCUCUCGGAAGCCCAGGAGCUAGGUUAGCAGUUUGGUGAGUGAUCUAGUGAAAGGAUGUGAAUUCCGUGACUGUUCCCCCACCAGGCAACUGCCUGAAAUUGUCUUAAUUAUCAGCUGCUAAACUGGGUGCCUAGAGAAAGUGCUAAACUGAAUUCAACCUCACCUGCCAACACCCAUCUUCGCAAGUUAGCUCAGGCAUUUAAAAUUGUGCCCAACUGUGAGCGUCCCCUACAGAAGUUGACAAACAGCGUACAAGAGGCAUAAAUUCCACACUAAGGAAAUACAAUGCAGUUUCAGCUCAUGGUUCAUGAUUUUGCUGUAUAAAUACCAUUGUAUAAAUUCUCCUACAGCCCUGCUGGACAGAUAAAGUAUUUUAAAAUGUUAGGUUAGCUGCAUGGAACAGGCAGUUCCUCCUGAAGUAGUUCCUCUAGAAGCUAAAAGACGAGAAGGGCUUUCCUCUUUCUGCUUCCCUCCUAUCAAGAAGGAGGCAUUUUACUGCCAUAAGAUUUUUUUUUUUCUUUUUCAGUUAGCACAACUGAACAAUAGACACAAACAACCUUUUUUCUUUGUGUGCAUGUUUCGUUCUUUUCCACUGCUUAAACCAAAAAAAGAACAGAAAUGCAGCACAUUUACCCUCAAGGCGGCUCUUAGUCCUAAACUCUUCCCAUUAUUUUAUUUCCACAAGCAAUGCAAUUUUUUUAGAAUUAUGCCCUGUAGUGUGCUGAGGGUUUUUUUUAUGUAGUCCAAAAAGCCAUUGCACAUAGCUGAACACGAGUAGAACUAAAGUUUCAACUUAUAUUAAUACUUUAUAUAGCUUAGCUUUAAGCCAGAACCAUACGUCUUUUCAGUACAUACUCAGUUCAUACAUCCUGUAAAAUAUUACAGGUUUUCUGAAGAAUUUCAGCUGUUGUGAGCUGUACUUGACCUCUAGGUAACUUACUUUUGAUGCACAAAUAAAGAAAACAACAUUUCAAACAAAAUUAUUUGUUCGGUAGUUGUAUUCUGGUGAUUGAGUAUACACACUUGCAUACUGGAUGGACCCAAAAUACCCAAAUUUCACAUGAACACAUAUAUCAAUAUAAAUCAGUUAGGAUGAAAAAGAAUGCUCUGGCUCGGAGCAAAUAUCGUAAUGUUUUUUCUAACCACUUGUAUUUCAGAUUUCCCAGACUUGUGGUCUAUAUGAUAGAAGAUACCAUUUGCUUACAAGAACACUGCUAACAUUGCACCAGACAAUAGUUUAUAAUGGCACAGAACGUCCAGGAUGCAGGUAGGAGAUGGAAGGAAGAGCAUGUAUCGUAACUUAGAUACAAGCUUUAUCAGCUCUAACACGGCGUGCUCUUGCUUUUGUUUCUGUUUCUUCAUAAUGACACCUAGCACAAGGAAUGCUUGUUCACAGGGUCGCUGCCUAAAGAUUGGGUUGUUUCUGGUCGUCUUUUUGCAAGUUUUUGCUGUUUCUUUUCUUUGCUAGUAAUAUACAUCUCACAUGAUUAGUCUUACGCUGAGCAGAAACAUUAUUUAGGGAUGAUCACGUCAAGAAUUCUCAGUGUACGUUAUUGCAAUAUGAUGUCGUGAGCAUGUCAUGGUUAUUUAUUUGUGUGUUGUUUCCCUAUAAGUACAAGAAGUAUAAAAAAAAAAGUAUGGACAGUAUAGGAACAUGGAUUUCAGCAGUGGUUAAUGGCCUAUGAAAAGGCAUGGUAUGGGUCAGCCUGAAAUGCUGAAAUAUAGCUAGAGUUUCAGGGUGCCGAAGAUUUGGCUGUAAAUACACAAAAAUAACCCUCAAGAUACAAAGUGUACAGAGGAAUUGUUGUCGUCUUCUGCGACAUUCCAGAUACACAGUGCAUGAGGAUUUGAAGACGUGAUUAUGAAAGUGAUGCUGAUGAGUCGAUGGUUCUGUGUUAACAAAUAUUUUGGAACUCACUGAUUUAUCUGUUGCACACUCAGGAUUCCUGCCUUGGUAGCAGCAGCAGCAGCCUAAUUAUAGAGUGUUUUGAUCCCAUGUUUAAGCAAAGCUUCACUAGAAGGGAACCGUGAAGUAGCCAGGAGGCUGGCUUAGUAACUUCAGCACGAGGAAAAAGUGCUGAGCUUUCCAGGAGAUAUAUGAAUGGACUAGGGGAGUCUUUUUAAAGGUUAUGAAGUCCUUCUUUCUCCCUGUGUCUGAGAACUCCUAUUGAAGUGAAUGGAACCUCUGUCCUAUUCAUUUCAAAGGGGGUUUUGUCAGGAAAAAGAGCUUGAUCAAAGUAGCUACUAAGCAUUCUUAGUGGCUAAUGUUCAGAGUUAAAUGUAUCAGCUGUUCCAAACCAUUUCUAUUUCAAAUUAUUCAAAGGGUUUAAGGGACUGUCUCCCUGCACAUUUUGCUCUUUAAGGUCACCAAAACCGAUCAGCCAAAACCUGAGAUCCAGUGUGAAAUAGCUUCUUGGGAGAUUUAAAACACUGAAUGAAAAUUAAAAGGUUGAAAAUUAAGUUAAAAUCUUGAGGUUAACAGCAAUGGGCACUGCAUAAAACUAAAUAAAAAGGCAGCUAUGAAAAUAGCUUAUUCCCAAAAUUAUAGCAGGAAGGUAAAACGAUGAAAGAUUCUUGAGCUAGGAAGCAGCAGGAAGCUUCUGAUUUAGGAGUCCCAUACCAAAAAUAUCUAUGUCAAGAAAUACCUUUAAAAGGAAAAUAUGCUCUAAGUCUGAAGAUUAACAAAGGCAUUGGGAAAGGUCACCAGUUCUUUGAAGGAACCUGGUGCAGUUAUUUCCUAUCGUAAUUCUGUCUUGGAUUCUUAGUCAACAGAUGAAUCUACUCCUGACUGUGAUUGUGCUCUUUUAUGGCACAACUUGACAAGUAAGUUAACAACAACACAAUCAUGAAACCAGAUGGAUUUGUCGUGGAAUUAUCCUCCAUAAACCUGUACACUUAUAUGACACACUGCUUUCAUAUCUGACAGACUACACAAAAGAGCUAGUUUGCCCAACAGAUAUCAAUCUCUAAGGUUGCAAAAGCUUUCGCUUAAGAAAGGUCUUUCCUAGGUGCUUAUAAUGACAUUAAGUUUUACCUCGUAGGCUGAAGUUUGUUCUUCAUGCUUACACGUCUGUCUUCAUCUCCGUCACACCAUGUUAGUAUUUACGCUAUGUGCAGAGUGUCCAGUAAAGCCAUUAGCCACCUUUAACAGCACAGCUCAGAAACACAGCAAUCUAAGACUGGUUUUUAAAACAGGCAGGGAUAGAAUAUGAAGCAAAACUGGUGCAAUUGAAAACAAAGUGGUGUUCUGAAACAGCUCUACUCUUAUACUCUUAUCGCCAAAGAGCAUGUAAUAAGGAAAUUCAUAGCUCAAAUAUGCUACGUGUAUUCGUAUUACAGAAAUCACCAGGUCUUAAGAUAAACCCACUGAAAAUAGUAAGCACUAAAAAGACUGUCAAAAGAUUUUCAACCUAUUUGACAUCAUUUGACGUUGAAAAAUGAUCAACGAUGAGGGAAUCCGAGCUUCUUUUAAUGUUUGACGCACAAGACUGAACAGGAGAUUCCAGCGCAGCGUCACCGACAUCACAGGGCGUAAUCGUGCAGAUAUUGCAGUGAAAGUGUAAAGCGAUCACUGAAGUCAGCCGGCGCACUCACUCCCAGGUAGCGUGGCAGCCUGGCUCGUGGCUUGGCAGUGACAGCUUCGGCUGCGUCACCAAGUGCUGUACGUGAAAGCGAACGGGAGGAGACAAUGCCAAACAGCAUAAGUACCAAACCCCUCCCGUACGUGAGAAAAUCUCGGCACAGAUUUUUAUUACUUCCCUUAAGACAAACAUCUGCUCUUUCCCAGUCUCUCCCCUUCCCCCUCAGCACAACAAGACCGAGGAAGCCCCUCUGCGCUAAACAGAACCAGAUGAUGGACGGAGCGGCGCGGCUGUUCUCUUCCUGGGCACUGCACGGCAGCGCAGCUUUCCUUGCUGCCGAGGCACGUGUUGUGUGAAUCAGGGAAAUGGUAGCGAUGCACGCACGGCAACCAACCGCCCAGGAGAGUCAGUAUACAGAGGACUGAGAGCAGCUGAAAAUAGCUGAAAACAAGAAAAGAACAGAAGAGUUUGCUUUCGUUGGAUGUGCGAGGACUUGUCUGAGCGUUGUUCUCACCUUCCCCCAGCACCGGGCUUCGCAGUCUCGCUGUGGCUCUGAUGACUUCACUCUGCCGCUGCAGCUCAGCGCGACAGCUGGCGCCUCGGUGCACUGGCAGCUGCAGACGGGAUCGCUGCCAGGGCUCCUGCACCAAGCUACGGAGACUUUCACCCUUCUACAGCCUGUCACCUCCUGCCCCUCUCUGGCCUGAGCACGGAAGGGAAAGGCAUUUGAAGUGAGCACGUUUGCCUUCCACCGCUGGGGACAGAGCGCUGUUCUGCAUCCUGCUCUGAAGGCUUGAAGACGUCACCUGGUGAGCCCACAGCCACAAACUCAAAGCACGAGCAUCUAAUGAGAAGUCUUUCAUUGUACCUUUUUUUUUUUUUUAAAUUUAAUUUAAUUUGUACUGCUUUUAGUUCAACUUCCAAGGCGUGCAAGGACUCCAACACCUGGUGCAUAAGGGCCCCAAACCUUCUUUAUGUCUUAAAACACAAAUUAACAGGAAGGUUAUUGUGAUAUCUGAAAUCCCAAGUGCCUCAGUUUUCCUGAUUUAUAUUAACUUUGUUGUAACAUAAAUUUUUGAAUACCUGAAUAAGAAAGAGCUGAGUGCUGAGUGCUGUCAGCAACUGAAACCACAAACAGCUGUUCUGGGGUGACAUCAACUGUAACGGCGUAAGCAAGUUACUGAAAAAGAUUUCUUUCCAAGUAUUUUUAAAUACAGUUCAUUAUGCUGUUUUUUUCCUCACCAAGUCUCCUGCUUGAAUCCCCCUCAAACAUCUACGCUUGUCACCUGCGCAGCAGCUCUUUUUGGUUUUGCAGUAACUGGAAGUCUGCCUUACUCUGGGCUGAAACACAAAAAAAGCUCUUGGAAACAUUCUGCAAAACCAGUAGCUGUUUUGGGGUGUUUGCAAUCCCCCUCCCACCUUUUUGUCUCAUCAGUUAAUAUAAUAAUUCGUGUUUAUUUCUGGGAAGCAGAUGCCAGCAGCCGGAUGGUCUUUUGUCAUGUGCUGAGAAUGAUCUGCCUGUUUGGAGGAGGUUUACUCUGUCUCUUUUGCGCCAUCUUCCUUCUCUCUCACGUGGACAAAGAUUUUGUUCGAGCCUCCUUGUACCCACGUCAUCUUUCUUUCUCCCCAGGUGCUUCCCCCCCACAGUCCCAAGCCAAGAAAAUUGUAUUACAAAUCAAACAGGCAAAGGAGCAGGCAGACCACUCGGGUAUCCAUUUCUGAACACUGCAAUGACACCUUUGUGCCCAAGCAAAGUCAUUUCACCAUACGGGGUUGGGGGUUUGGGAUGUCUUUGUAGCCAUAUUGGCAGGAAGAGCUACGAAGUCUUGUUUGUCUGAAACUGCAAGGAUGUACAAGACUAAAUAACGGAGCUACAGGUUCUCCUUUUGGCCACAAUUAAACAAAACAGAGAAAGUUUUAUUUUUCAGGGGUAAAUAUUUACUUUUUUUUUCUUCAGAAACGGAGAGGAGAUUCCACAACUGAUCACGGGUAAUGGCAAACCCUUAUACUUGUUAUUUUUAUGACAUUUUUUUUCCCCCUCUAGGAAAAAUUCAGAGUGAAAAGCAAGAAAUUAUUUUGCUGGAACUGAAAAAAGUGGUAUUUCUACCAGGAGUUAAGAAUUGCCUCUCUUUCAAAAAGGCCUAAAAUGACUGUGACUUGGUGAGAUGGGAACUUCUGGGGUAAGAUUAAACACAGACUUUGCUGCGCCUUUCCAUCCCAGAUUACGCGCACACAGAUGUGUUCGCAUACUGUAGGUAAGCGUGAAGCAGACAGAAUCAGUGUAGUAGGUUUUGUUCUGUUUUUUGAGCUGGAAGCAUUUAUUUUUCCAUGUUUUUAGGAUAUUGUUUCUUUGUAGCCUGAAUUUUGGUACCUGACAUUUCCCUGGGGCAAGAACACUUAUUUUUCUUUUCCGCCUCUCCUGGUUACCGGGUUAAGUAGCAGUCAGGAGGCACUGACACCGUGGGAGGACUUACCUGCACAGUUUUUGCCCCGCCGGCCCUCGACACGCAGGUGGCUAUAAGGGAGCCCUCGCUCUCCCAUCCAUUAGUGGAAAUAUUUUAGCACAUCUGAAAGCUGGACUCAAAUUGUGACCCAGCUCCACCUUGCUCACUCACUGGCAUGGAUUUCUGCCUGACGUUCUGACAUGCCAGCUGACCCCACACGUGCACGCUCGUUUCUUUGACUCCUGACAACCCACACUAACGCUUGCUUGGAGUUCGUCUGUGCGGUAGCUGUGGGGUCUGGCUCUGCAGAGAUGCUGCUCUCUCCCCGCUGAGCUUUAGCCCCAGGAAGUAUAUGAAAACCUUUCCCAUUUUCCAUGGCUUUUCUAGAAUCAAAUUUUCCAGAAAGCACUCUUGUAUUUUUUCUUCUGUUCUAAGUCCUAAACCCUUAUCUCCUGUUGCAAUAGCAUUCAAUUACAGACAAAUUCUUAUCUCACAGCAGGUAAAAGCGUGAGAGAUGAAAUCUCUCCAGAACGUGUUUUGUGGGGGCUGUUUUGAGUCAAGUCAAAUCUCUGAUUUUUUAAAGCCACAACAAGAAUUUCUUUUGAGCGUCCAUAGCCAAUACAGAAAUAGCAGAACCUGGCAGGGAGCGAAGUGAGCUAGGGGGGCCCGACUUGCCACCGCUUAGCUCCCAAGCGCGAAGCAAAUGCGAUGCGUUGCGGUUCCACUUCAGGGUGCUUUCCUCGCUGCACGAGGCUGGCGGGACCUUUUGGGGCACCUGUGCUCGCGCAGCACGUUGCAGCAGCACGCUACGGUAUGGCAACAAACGGCUCCUGCUGACUCUGCGUGAGUGGGACCGCAGGAAAUACGCGAGUGAGGGCUCUCCUCUGUGGCUGUUCACCUCCCGCCCCCGGCAGCGCAGCGCGUGGUUGGAGGAACUGCAGCAGCCGGCCGUGGGCAGCCACAGAAGGCUUUUUGGGAAGCCUGGAAGUGUUUUUCUGGAGUUCAUCUGACCUAGGUUCAAAUUGAACUUGCAGCGGAUUUUGAGCUAAAUUAUCUGUUUGCGUGGUUCGGAUUGUGUAAGUCAGCACCAAGCUGAAAGCAGCAGGUUAAUAAUGAUACUUCCAGGCGCCUCUCAAAGGUGGACGCUGGGUUGCUCAGUUGGUGCCGGCACAAAGAGCAGAGUCAGGGAACUGGAGGCCGUGCUACGGGGCGCUGGCGUUGGACGUGGAUCAGAACGUCCUGGUUUUCGUGAGCAAAGCUUCAACAGCCGUCAGCUUCCUCGACUUACCUGCCAGAGGCUGCCCGGGAUGACAUUGCAUUCACGGAGGACACAAACUAAGGACAGGUAACCAGAUUUUAGGCUUAACUGUGAAUUCUCUUGGCUUUCAUACCUUUAAAUCAACUUUGACCUUGUUGUUUGCUAUUUAAUUUGAUAGCGGUGCCCAUGGCCCCGUUUAAGACUGGGCACCCCGUUAUGCUAGGCAUCUUACAAAUACACAGGAGACAUAGUCCCUGCCCCGAAGAGAACAUCACAGGAACUUUUUUUUCUGGUGAUUUAAUCAUAAUAUUGACAACUUUAUCAAAAAUUACAAAACUGAUAAUAAAAAAAUUUCUAAUUCUUAGUAAGACUAGAAUGGGUUUUUUUAAAAAAUAGAAAAGCACUUUUAAUGCUACUGCUCUUCUGGAAUUCUCACAUUACAACCCUACAUAGCAAAAUACAAACUGUAGCUAAGAAAGGUAGCAGUCCUAAGGUAAUUCAGUCCACCAUGAGCCCUCUAAUAACUCUAUACCAGCAAAUUCAGGGACUCCAAAAGGAUAUCACAUUACUUAGAAACCUGAUUUAGGAAACACCUUUAAGUUCUUUCUAACCCCUAAAACCUUAGACUGUGAGUAUAAUAGACCUGGGACAUCAGAGGUGGGUUGUUUUUUUUUUUCUUUUUUCUUUCCUCUGUGGAUAAUGUUUUUGGAGCUGAUACCAGCAAAACGGUCUCUUUAAGAAGUGAAAAUAUGAAGAAAAUCCAUCGGAAUAAAUGAAAAUAUUUUUAUGGUGUUCACAAAAUGCACCAUAAUAGAAAGAGGAAUUAUUUUCUUUAAUUUGAAUGUCAUCUGAAUGACUCAACCACAUUGUCACCCACUUAGCAAAAGAAAGCAUAAUAAAUAAAUAAAUAAAUAGACAAGAAUAUGCAACACUUUACAUCCUUAAAGAACCACGUAGUGCCCUAAGCUACCGAGAUCCUGAUCGACUUUGUGGGCUCGCUGUGCUCAGCCAGCUCAGUUCUGGGUGAUUGCGCCAUGUUAAUGACAAAUAAAAGCGUUGUUCCACUUUCCACAAUGGAGUAUUUUUUUUCCACCUUUUAAAUAUAGGAAUUCUCUCUUAAAUUAGAAAGUAGGCAAAAAGUAUUUUUUUUUUAAAUUUUCAUUUUAAGUCUUCUAUUAGAAAAAAUAUAGAUUUAUUAAACAAAAAAUAAUAAGGUAGAAAGAAGGGUUGGGCCUCCAUCAAAAAAGUAUAUUAUGCUUUAAUGCAAAGAGAAAGAAAUGGCUCUAAGGGCAAAAUUCAAGUAUGAGUGACCAGUUUUUUAAUCGUAAAGUAGGUGCAACAUUUUUUAAAAUGUUACAACACUGCAUGACCUGUAAUGCUCACAAUAUUUACAUUAACUGCUUACAUGAAACCAUAAAAACUCUAAAAGAGAAAAAAAUUUGUAUGGACUGAAACAAACUACUCCUAGCACCCACAUCAAUGCCAUUAUUAACCAAUGAAAUCAAGUGCACAAAAAUACUUUACAUAGUCUACUGAUGUAAAGUAUACAUCGGUGAGAAAGUACAAACCUAAUUCGUUAAAAUGCCAAAAGAAGGGUUGGUCGAUACAAACUCCGCUCUAGGACAGAAAGCAAAGGGGGAAAUAAACUGAACUACCCAGGCGCACACGCACGCACCCUCGCACACACCCCCGCAUCUCUGAUUAAACGCACAGGUGUGGACAAACAGCGGAAAGCAGGCGGGCAUGGAGAAGGGACAACAUCGACGCUUUAAACAGAACAAACACAGCAACUCGUAACAGAAAAAUGCCAACUACGCUACACAAAAGAAUCACUCCACAUGAGUCUGCGUGUAGGACCGUGGCGUUACACACACGACAAAUGAACCUACCCCGCGGAAGGAAGGGCUCCUGCCUCCAGGCCCCUGUAGCCAGUGUAGCUAUUGCGAUCCCUCGGGCUAGGGAAGGAGUGGGAGCUGCUCUGCGGGACAUGAGGAAGCGGGGAGCCCGGAGGUAGUGCUUUGUGCUCCGGCACACGAGAGCCGAGGCUGGGGGAGCCUGCGGGCCCGUGGUCCUCGGGGGCAGCCGGCCUCGGUCAUGUCACUCUGCGGAGACGUGGGGGGCUCGGGCAGGGCGCCCGGGCAGAGGGGCGGCGGUGGCGCGUGGUCCCGGCGCCCAGAGAGCGGCAGUGCCACCGGCUUCGCGGGGCGCUGACCGCUGCCAGUCCGUGGCUAGAGAGUGAGAUUCGGGAGCUCAGGGAGAAAGGCGACCUGAGGUAGGUGGCGGGCCCGGGCGAGGAGGGGGGGUUAAGGACUCCACCCGGGGGACCGGGAAUGGUGAAUUAUUUCGGGAAGCCUCGAAGACACAGGAUGCCAUUGCUUCCAUCACCAUCACCACCAUCCACGUUGAAAAAC